AGGACUAAAGUUUUUAAAACAUUUAAAUUGCAAUUAAAAAAAAUAUUUUAUAUUAGUCUAA
rnacentral:tRNA from 1 species